rnacentral:lncRNA from 1 species
GAGCAUCAUUUCGUUUGAAAUUUGAAAGAAUAAAAUGGACUCGUGAACAUUAAUUAUCUUCAAAUCUUGAGUUUCGAGCAUAUAUCAUUUCGUCUGAAAAUUGAAAGAAUAAAAUUGACUCUUGAACAUUGUUGGGGAUGGAUCCAACAAUUACGGAUAAGGACGUCGGGGUCGUCCGGUACGAUGGGCACUAGCAACCUGAAACACGAACAACGUUAGAGCCCUCCUUGGAGCACCGGUGGGGGUGUCGAUGGAAGGGCCUCCGACGCUCAAGUCAGUAAACAAUAUUAAUAAAAAUCGCAAUUGAAAGUAAACGAAAUAGUAAAUCGGAUCGAUCUGGGCGACGGAGUUGAAGGCGAUUGAGCAAUGAGCGAGGGCCGUUGGGUCGUCUCGGUUGAUCUGAUCACCGGAAAACCUAAGGCUGAGAGCGUGGAGGCGGAAUAGUGCGAGAUGGGAGAGAAGAGCGAGAGAACGUGUUGGAGUGCGAAUGAUUGUCCCCCUAGAAUGACCUAGUAAGUCAUUAUUUAUACCGCGAUGGCCUGACGGCUAGGGUUUUGCUGGCACGUCCCUUUAAACCCUGGUCGUUCCGAUAUUUUGGGGAUCGUAUCCCUGACCUCGUUCAUUUCUUUCUCCCCAAGUCGCUGCCCUUCUAGGGUUUGGGUCGAUGGGCCUUAAUGACCUAUAGUAUGAGUUGAAUUAAUUGAAAUUAAUUAAGUUUUGGAUUGGGCUCGACGUUUUGGGCCGCGAAUAUUUAUUCGAAUGGGCUAUACGAAAUUUGCCCACUACAGUUUGUCCCUCACUCUUUAGUUGAGAUUUUCUCAACUAAAGAGUGUAAUUAAAAAUGCAGAGUCAUUUUGGGUUUUAGUUCCCAUCAACAAUUCAUGACAAAAAUCAACGAUUAAGGGCAUGUUGCUACUUUUAUAUACACAUAUCUAUGUAUAUGUUUUGUUGGCAUGUCCCCGACUUUGAUCAAGUGAACUAUGAAUAAGGAAUUAAGCCAAUAGCUCAUUCGAUAAUCAACUCAUGUAUAUGAUAUAAUCAAUUCAAAUAUGUACAUCAUAAUAGCUUAUACAUGCAUGUCAUGUGGGGUAAUUGAGUAAAUUGAUUCCUUUUAAAAGAAUCAAAAUGUAAAUUAUAUAUACACGUAUGUAUAUAUAAGUAUUCAUCAUCUUUAAUUUGAAAAUGAAAUAAUGAAUAGUGAUUCACAUAAAUUGGCUAAUGGGGUCGGCUAAAAAGCCUUUUAGCCUUGUUUCCCUAUUUUCGAUAGGGGCCCACAGAUUCCUUAUGUUUACUUGUGCUUUUAGUCAAAUGCUCAGUCUGACUCCUCAGAGAAAAUAGGCGUGAUAGCUAGUAUGAUAGAUGGAGAGUAGAGAGAGAAAUAUAUUUUCAGAUCAAGGGAAAAAUAUUUCCGAGAGGAACGAGAGGGACAGGCGGCGCGGCGGUUCUUUGAGGUUCCAGAGGAAGCGGCGAUGACCGGCGGCCGUGUGCCCUGGUGUUGACCCUCGUCGGUUUUCUUUUGGAGGCGGCGGCGGUGGUAUUCUUCAACACGACUUUCACCGCUUCUGCGUGGAUUCGACGGCGAAGGCGGACCCCCUUAGGGGCCGCGUCAUUCUCCAAGGCGGGGGAGCUCUGCGAGCGUCUUGCGAAGGCCUCGGAAUUGAAUUAGAGCUUUGAUGCAACAAAAGGGUUUCUUUUUUGCAGAGAUUUUCGCCGGCUUCCGUUUCAAGGCGACAAUGGUGGAUCUCCGAACGAGAAGAGCUUAGGUUACGGUGAUUCGUGGUGAAUCGGAGGCUGAAAAG